rnacentral:lncRNA from 1 species
UUGGGACUUCCCUCGUACUUUUCCCAUGAGAACACCUACUUUUAGCGAUACCAACUUUUAAAGAUAGUUACGUGAAUCGCCAGCUGAUUCAAUAGUUGAUUAUAGCUGUUAUAAGACUUGUUGAAAAACAGCAUUGAAGCUAUACAAUUUAUGUUGGGAAAGUCUUAACUCAAAUUCAACCCAACCUUCCCUCUUCUCUACUCUCAGGCUUCGGCCAAGGAAAGCAACCCAAAUGAACCAAUUAUGAACUUGCAUGUCCUCCAUGGUCGCCAAUAAGAUGGUCAAAAUCUGCUGUCGGCGAUUUGAGGAAGAAAUGAUCGAGAGAGAUGAUUUGAGGUUGGGCAUAAAAUCCGACGAAGGAAGGGUGAAAAGAAAUCAUAGACAUGGGAGAAGAACCAACCCACUCUAUAUUAUAUCAAACAACGUAAGAGGAAGAGACGUCUGAUCCAUGUGGAUAUGGCGGAAACACCAAGCUAUCUUCUAUUACCUUGAUGCUGCAAUGAUUCCGCCAUUAAUUACCAAGACUUGCUUUUCCUAUGGCCUCUGCUAAAAUCAACAACAGAAUGAAUGUCCGCUUCAUUUCUAUUAAAAGCUCACUGUUAUAUUUAAGGAAAAUGGUUUGCGUCUUUAAAUUUUCGAGUUUUUUUCCAUAGGGUUAAU